rnacentral:sRNA from 1 species
AUCUACCGCUCGGGGACUUCGGCUCCUUUCGCACCACCCAUGCCUGCCUGACGACCGCCCGUUAAGUUUUGUCAGAU